rnacentral:rRNA from 1 species
CCUACGGGAGGCAGCAGUGGGGAAUAUUGCACAAUGGGCGGAACCCUGAUGCAGCAACGCCGCGUGGGUGAAGAAGUACUCCGGUAUGUAAAGCCCUGUCAGCAGGGAAGAAAAUGACGGUACCUGACCAAGAAGCCCCGGCUAACUACGUGCCAGCAGUCGCGGUAAUACGUAGGGGGCAAGCGUUAUCCGGAUUUACUGGGUGUAAAGGGAGCGUAGGCGGCAAGGCAAGUCUGGAGUGAAAGCCCGUGGCUCAACCAGGGGGUUGCGUUGGAAACUGGGUUGCUGGAGUGCAGGAGGGGUAAGCGGAAUUCCUAGUGUAGCGGUGAAAUGCGUAGAUAUGAGGAGGAACACCGGUGGCGAAGGCGGCUUACUGGACUGUAACUGACGUUGAGGCUCGAAGGCGUGGGGAGCAAACAGGAUUAGAUACCCCGGUAGUC